rnacentral:rRNA from 1 species
CAAUAGCGUAUAUUAAAGCUGUUGCGGUUAAAAAGCUCGUAGUUGGAUUUCUGUCAAGGACAACUGGUCCGCCCUCCGGGUGAGCACAUAGUUUGGUCUUGGCAUCUUGCUGGAAACUGUUGCUGCGCUUGGUUGUGUGGUGCAGCUUUCAGCACUUUCACUUUGAGGAAAUUGGAGUGUUUCAAGCAGGCACAUGCCUUUGGACACAGUAGCAUGGAAUAAUUAGAUUGGGCUUUUGCUCCAACUUGUUGGUUCCUGGAGCUGAGGUGAGAAUCAAUGGGGAUUGUUUGGGGCAUCCGAAUUUAGCCGUCAGAGGUGAAAUUCUUGGAUCUGCUAAAGACGGACAACUGCGAAAGCGUUUGCCCAGGAUGUUUUCAUUGA